CUUUAGCAUAACAAGUAUUAAAGGUCCCGCCUGCCCAGUGAUUUAUUUAAACGGCCGCGGUAUUCUAACCGUGCAAAGGUAGCGUAAUCACUUGUCUUCUAAAUAAAGACCAGUAUGAACGGCUAAAUGAGGACAAGCCUGUCUCUUGCAACCAAUCAGUGAAACUGAUCUCCCGGUCCAAAAGCCGGGAUAAACCCAUAAGACGAGAAGACCCUGUGGAGCUUUAAACAAACUACUACGUAACACACUUAAACUUGCACCUAGUAGGAAGUUUUCAGUUGGGGCGACUUCGGAAUCAAAAAAAACUUCCGAGCACAGAAUCACCCAUUCUUACUAAGACCAACAGGUCAAAGCCCGAAACAUGACCCAGUAAUACUGAUCAACGAACCAAGUUACCCCAGGGAUAACAGCGCCAUCUUCUUCAAGAGUUCAUAUCGACAAGAAGGUUUACGACCUCGAUGUUGGAUCAGGACACCCCAAUGGUGCAGCCGCUAUUAAAGGUUCGUUUGUUCAACGAUUAACAGUCCUACGUGAUCUGAGUUCAGACCGGAGCAAUCCAGGUCGGUUU
rnacentral:rRNA from 1 species